rnacentral:misc_RNA from 1 species
GGAAGUAAAAGUCAUAACAAGGUUUCCGUAGGUGAACCUGCGGAAGGAUCAUUAGUGAACGCACUCACGGGCUUAUAACUAUUCCACACCUCUCUGAUCCAAGCCCUUCGGAGCUAUUUUACAAACGUGGUGUAAUGUACGUCAUAUCUCAUAACAAAACAAAACUUUCAACAACGGAUCUCUUGUCUCUC